rnacentral:lncRNA from 1 species
GGAUUGAAAAUAGACUAUUAGUAUCAAACAAAGGUGGACAGCUUUUUGGAAUUUUAAGUGAAAACACAAAACCGUAAUAACUUUAAAAAGAAGGGAGGCAAGGCAAAACAUAUAAUAGUUCAAAUAUCCAAUUAUUCAAUUCAAAGCUCGUAUUUUAUUAAGUAUUAUUAUCAAUCCAACUUUGAUAGCCGCGAAGUAAAUUUUGAGAGCAUAAUCUGAAUAGCAUUCUGUAGUUAUCACAUCAUGAACCCUCCUCUCCUUCUGAAAGAAGCCAUGCGUAGCUGCGUUGAGAAACAACUAACUUCGAAGUCAUCAACGCCGAAGCAGUUGCCGAAUGAAACGGCAACAUAG